GAUGAACGCUAGCUACAGGCUUAACACAUGCAAGUCGAGGGGCAGCACAGUGUAGCAAUACACGGGUGGCGACCGGCGCACGGGUGCGUAACGCGUAUCCAACCUUCCCGAUACUCUUGGAUAGCCUUCCGAAAGGGAGAUUAAUACAAGAUGGUGUUUCACUUUCGCAUGUUAUUGAAACUAAAGAUUUAUCGGUAUCGGAUGGGGAUGCGUGACAUUAGAUAGUAGGCGGGGUAACGGCCCACCUAGUCUACGAUGUCUAGGGGUUCUGAGAGGAAGGUCCCCCCACACUGGAACUGAGACACGGUCCAGACUCCUACGGGAGGCAGCAGUGAGGAAUAUUGGUCAAUGGUCGGAAGACUGAACCAGCCAAGUAGCGUGAAGGAUGAAGGUUCUAUGGAUUGUAAACUUCUUUUAUACGGGAAUAGAACCUCCACGUGUGGGAGCUUGUAUGUACCGUAUGAAUAAGCAUCGGCUAACUCCGUG
rnacentral:rRNA from 1 species